GUGCUUGCUUCAGCAGCACAUAUACUAAAACUGGAGCGAUACAGAGAAGAUCAGUAUGGCCCCUGCACAAGAAUGACAUGCAAAUUCGUGAAGCAUUCUAUAUUUUU